rnacentral:lncRNA from 1 species
GUAUUUGGCAUAGUGGCUAAGAUGCUACCCAGGAUGACCACAUCCCAUACAAGCGUGCCUGUGUUCACUUCUUAUCGCGGCUCUGGAUUCCAGCUUGACGCUAAUGUGCACCUUGGGAGGAAGCAGAGGCAAAGAGAUUAAACCCCUGCUCGCCCUGCACUUAAUGGUGACGAACGAAACAUCAGGAGCUGGACACACCAACGAUGAGCAAGCUCAGGAGCCAGAGCUGCUGGUGCCUCCUCUCCAAAACCAUGUCCAGUUAAACUGCAAAAUAAGAAGUCUCCAUGGCCGCAGACCGAACAGACCAACCCAAGCCUCUGCAAUGCAGCAAACUGAAGAUUACUCUGAGAUCAACUCACAGGACCAGCAGCAAACCUCGCUGGACUAUGGCAUGGGAGCCACAGAGAAAGCAAAACUGUGCAGGAAGGCGCCAGUGUCUGGAGCAGGCAGCAUCCAGGAGAUGCCUGACAGGCUGAGUGAAGGUACAGGAGGUGCAAAAGCAGCCAGGAGAGACUCUGAGAGUGGCAAGCAUCAGCAAGGGUCACCAGCCAGGUCCACCAUGCUCAGGAAAGUGACCAUCUGGGCAUCGAGCCAGUGUGGCUGCAGGCUAACUACCUCCAUGGCAACAUAUAAACUUAUGACUGAUGAUUAA